AAAAUGCGAUAAGUAAUGUGAAUUGCAGAAUUCAGUGAAUCAUCGAAUCUUUGAACGCACAUUGCGCCCGCCAGUAUUCUGGCGGGCAUGCCUGUUCGAGCGUCAUUUCAACCCUCAAGCCCCCGGGUUUGGUGUUGGGGAUCGGGUCCUGCGAGCAAUCGCGGCCCGGCCCCGAAAUCUAGUGGCGGUCUCGCUGCGGCCUCCUUUGCGUAGUAGCUAACACCUCGCAACUGGAACGCGGCGCGGCCAAGCCGUUAAACCCCCAACUUCUGAAUGUUGACCUCGGAUCAGGUAGGAAUACCCGCUGAACUUAA
rnacentral:misc_RNA from 1 species